rnacentral:rRNA from 1 species
GAUGAACGCUGGCGGCGUGCCUAAUACAUGCAAGUCGAGCGAACGGACGAGAAGCUUGCUUUUCUGAUGUUAGCGGCGGACGGGUGAGUAACACGUGGAUAACCUACCUAUAAGACUGGGAUAACUUCGGGAAACCGGAGCUAAUACCGGAUAAUAUUUUGAACCGCAUGGUUCAAAAGUGAAAGACGGUCUUGCUGUCACUUAUAGAGGGAUCCGCGCUGCAUUAGCUAGUUGGUAAGGUAACGGCUUACCAAGGCAACGAUGCAUAGCCGACCUGAGAGGUUGAUCGGCCACACUGGAACUGAGACACGGUCCAGACUCCUACGGGAGGCAGCAGUGGGGAAUCUUCCGCAAUGGGCAAAAGCCUGACGGAGCAACGCCGCGUGAGUGAUGAAGUUCUUCGGAUCGUAAAACUCUGUUAUUAGGGAAGAACAUAUGUGUAAGUAACUGUGCACAUCUUGACGGUACCUAAUCAGAAAGCCACGGCUAACUACGUG